CUACGGGUUGCACCAGUGAGGAAUAUUGCACAGUGGGGGGAACCCUGAUGCAGCAACGUCGCGUGGAGGAUGACGCAUUUCGGUGUGUAAACUCCUUUUAUAUGUCAAGAAAAUGACGGUAGCAUAUGAAUAAGCACCGGCUAACUCCGUGCCAGCAGCCGCGGUAAUACGGAGGGUGCAAGCGUUACUCGGAAUCACUGGGCGUAAAGGACGCGUAGGCGGGUUGGAAAGUCAGGUGUGAAAUCCUACAGCUUAACUGUAGAACUGCACUUGAAACUUCUAAUCUAGAGUAUGGGAGGGGGAGAUGGAAUUAGUGGUGUAGGGGUAAAAUCCGUAGAUAUCACUAGGAAUACCUAAAGCGAAGGCGAUCUCCUGGAACAUUACUGACGCUAAGGCGUGAAAGCGUGGGGAGCAAACAGGAUUAGAUACCCUUGUAGUC
rnacentral:rRNA from 1 species